rnacentral:rRNA from 1 species
UACAGAGGGUGCAAGCGUUGUUCGGAAUCAUUGGGCGUAAAGGGCGUGUAGGCGGUUUGUUAAGUCAUGUGUGAAAUCCCUCGGCUCAACCGGGGAACGACGCAUGAAACUGGCAAGCUAGAGUACCAAAGAGGGCGGUGGAAUUCCCGGUGUAGCGGUGAAAUGCAUAGAUAUCGGGAGGAACCCCUGUGGCGAAGGCGGCCGCCUGGUUGGAUACUGACGCUGAGACGCGAAAGCGUGGGGAGCAAACAGG